GUUCUUUGCCAGCAAGUAGGGGAAGGUCUAGGUACUUUCUUCCAGAACUUCUAUUCAAGUGAGAAACAGCUUAAGUCGGAGCUGCUUAGAGAAAAGAAGAUUUCAGGAUCUCCUUUUGAGCCUGUUCCAUUGCUCCCAGCUGCAGAUUCUAUGCUUUGUUGUAUGAGAGACAGAGAAUGAUGCUGCCAGACUCCUAGCUUUUUAGACCUUUCGAAGAUCCUGGGAAGACCAGCUGAGUUGUGGGACAUGUAAAUCCUCUGGAAAGGCUGCCCUGUGUUCCGCUGCUUGCAGACCAUGGAGCCCAAGAAAAUGAAUAGAGGAGAGGGAAGACAAGCUUUGAAGAUCAACAACACAACACAAUGUCUGCUCCAAGAAGAAAGUCACUUUGAUUUUAGCAGCUGUAGAUCAAAGGAAGUAAGUCAACAGAGGUGAUCAUCAUUCAAAGGCAAGUUGCUUUAGAGGUUCUCUGGUGUGUAUUUUAAACCUCAAAUCCAGAAUUUCUUUCUUUUCCAAGUGUUUUCACUGUUACUUUCCAUUAACUUAUCAUCCCUCUUCUCUUCUACAUACUCCUCCUUUUCCUUUUCCUAUUUCCCUCAUCAUUACUGUCACUACUCUGAGCCAUACCUGCAUGCAUGGAGAGAUGAGAAAGAUGGAAGAGAAGAAAGGGUGAAAGGGAGAAGAGCUUUCUACCUUGCCUUUGGAUCUCAGUUCCACACAAUCUUGAUAUUUGGCGUUCUUUACCAUCCUUACCUCUGUACCUCUGGACUUUUACAAGAGCUGUCAGUAGUUACCCCAUCAAGAAGUGGCAUUAGGAGAACAGAACAGACCACAUUUACAUUUAGCAUAUUUAGUUUCUGUAACAAUCAGAUUGUUAGCAAGUGUGAAGGGAAAUAACCAACUGUCUUUGACCAAAACAGCUAAAACAGACAACAAUUUUUUACCUUGGUUCUCUUGCUGAUCAUGGGAAGAACAGAUUGCCUGGGUUCAAAUUUUAGCUCUGUCACUUACCAGAUAUGUGACAUUAAGUAAGUUUUAUAAACUUUAUCUUCCUCAGUCUUCUCCUUUUUAAAAUGCUAAUAAUAAUUUUUCUAACUCAUAGGAUUAUUAUGAGCACAAAAUGAGUUAAUAUACUUAAAGCAUUCUGGAUACUGCCAGAUACAAUAAAUUCCACAUAGAUUUUAGGAAUAAUUGUUCUUAAACUUCAUCAUGAGUUUUCCUAGCUGCUUGGUCAAAAAUAGGUGUAAUUAGAAUGUGUGCCUGGGCCAGGGAUUUAGCUCAGUGGCACCGUGCCUGCCUCGCAAGUGCAAGGUCCUGAGUUCAUUCCCAGGUACAAAAAAAAAGUUUGCCUAACAUUGAUUUCAUGUCAACAAAAGCCAAUGGCUCCAUUUCAACACUCAUUUAUAAAAGAAUUCCCUUAUAUUCGUACUCUCUCUAACUCCUAAUGAAACUAAACACCAAAGGUCCUCUUUUGCCAUGUGGGGUGGGCCACCAAACUAUCAGCUGCCUCUAUUGGAUUGAUUAGAACUCUUCCAUUGUAUUCAGAAAGGUUAACUCCUUAAGUUUCAUUUUGUUUUAUAACUGGGAGAAUACAUUGGCUAGAUAUUCCUACUUAUUUGUAUAAAUUUUGAGAUUAAAGAGCGUCUGGUGGAAUACAGAAAAUCCUUGUCACUAGGACAUUUUACCUUUGAUUAUCUAUAUGGGGAAUAUGACUUUCCCACAAAAAACAAAUGACAGAGCUCUAGGAAGAAAAUGAAGUUGUCUCUUAAAUAGAAGUAAAAGCCAAGAUGCCUCAAAAAUAAAUUUUUAAAACCUUCUCUUUUUCUAAGUGUUUUUAAGGCAUCAAAAUGUUAGCUGAAGGAAGAAAGAGAAAACCCAGUUCCAAAUUUGAGUUUUGAAAAUGUAUAUGGCACAGUUUUGAGUUUUGGCAAAAGAAACUAACUGGGUUCUGAUAGGUACCUAAAUCAAAUGCAGCUUUUGGCUUGUUAGUAAACCACCUCAGAGUUGUCUCGGAGUUGUACUAAGAAUCAUGAAACUAAGACCCUCUUUCAUUGCUCAUUUAUGGAAUGAGCACAAAUUAUUUUAAUUCCUUUAUCCUGGGGGGAAAAUGAAAAUGCAUUCACCCUUUCUACUUUAUUUGGAUGCUUUACUUUGUAAAACUGUUUUACAUAGGUUUGGAAAUUGUUUUCUGGAAACUGUAUUAUGGGAAAAUCUAUAUCACUAUCACAAAAAAUAUCAAGAUAAAUCAUCUCAGAUGUCCUCAAUUCCAGAAAAGAAAUUAUCAUUCAAAACAUAUAGGAAGCAGACUCCAAUAUGACAGAAAUCAAUGGAUACUGGUGCUGGGAACAGAAUCCAGCCCCUUCCCCAUCAGCACAUAAAAACAUGUUCUGAUCUUAUAAAGCCCAUUUAGUCUUUGGCCUUGUUUUUGUUACCUAAACAAUGUGGCAGAAUAUACCUCUUUCUUUAGAAUUCUUCAAUGAAAUUUCAACUUUAAUUUAGUCUCUUUAAGUCAAAAUAUAUCUCCCAUUUUUUCAUUUAUAAACCUGUUCUAGUAAAGUUUUUGCUUUGUGACUAUUCAAUGUUUUCAUUACACUGAGGCCAAGGUUACUUUGCAUUACAACCAUAUGAUGCUGUCAUGGAAUUCUUCCUACACUUUUAUUAAUUUUUUACUUUGGAGAAGUUUCAACUGAUGAAUAAGUGAGUUAGAGGCAUUUGCACAUGUGUACAUAGAAGCUGGAUAGAGUCCUUGGCCUUAAAAAAUGACAGCAUUCCUUUACCACCUGAUACAAUAACUCUAAAUACAACAGGAAAACAACUGUCCAACCCAGUUUCUAAGGAAUGUAAGGACCAGAUAAACCAAAUGAUUUGUUCAGAGUUGCACAGUCUGCAAUAAAAAGGCAAACUACAGAUCAUAAUGCUCACAAGUAGCCCUACUUGGAAACAACCAGUAGGCUUUUCUGUGCUCUCCCUACCCAACUCUUUAUACUCUACUUUUUUAUUAGAAAGUAUGCAAACACGCACAUACACAUUUUAUCUGGCAAAGCCAUGCUAUGCCUCAGUUUCCACAACCUCAAAUCUUAAUGGUAAACUUUGUCAACCCUUCCAUUUUCCCUCCAUGGAUGUCAUCUCUGAUCCCUUUGUCAAAAGUGAGGGGAGCAUUGUACAUUCAUUAGUAUUUUUUAAAUAUACUUCUUCUGUGGGAAAAUAGUGAGUGUAAAUCACAAAAGGGAAAAAUAUACUUAGGCAAUCUUCCUUUUCUGAUUUCCUAUCUGAAAGAGCUAGGGGAAAAACAUUUCCUUCAUCCCAUUCCAAUCAUUCAAAAAAUUUUAGCAAACCAAAUCAGGCAGUGGUGAGAAUAUUCUGCCAUGGUUUCCAAAAUACUCUCCCAUUCUUUGUUUGAUUUUCACCUCCCUCUUUCCCUUCCACUCCUUAGUUAUGUCUAUAGUACAGAGACCAGAGUUGUGGAUUGGGCAAUUUUUCUAACCGACUUGCCACACCACUCUAGAAAAGCAGUUAAACUUCUGGGUGUUUUUUGGCAUUAGUAAUGUAAUGUCAUUGUGGGCUUGAUUUCUAGUUUUCACUUUAUAAAAAUGAUUUACAGUAUCUAUGAGUUUCACUUUGGAUGUCAGGUGCUAUGAAAUUUAAUAAAAUUAUUAAAAUGUGUAUCUAUUUUAUAUGUUCUUAAAAGACUCCCUCUACUUAUACAUUCAAGUUUCCUAAAUCCUCUUCUCUCCUCCCUUAUCCCAGAAGAGACUUACCUCACCCCAGUCACUCUUCCAGAUCUACAGGAACUCCCCACAGAAACUUUAGUGGCCCCCACUACCACCAUCCCGUCUACUGGCUCACCUCAGUU